UGACACUAGACUGUGUGGAGAUUUCUCUGGCACGCGUCUUUGAGAGUGGCCAGGCUUACGUUGCCUUGUCCCGUGCUCGCAGCCUGGAGGGUCUGCGGGUGAUGGACUUCGACCCCCGUGUGGUCAGGGCGGAUCCAGAUGUUCUCAUCUUCUACAAGAGACUGAGGAAGGAGAGGAUCCUCAUGCAGGCCUCUAUGGACGAUUUUAUUGGCAACAGCAACCAAGAAAACCCUUGGUGAGAAGGCGAAUCCAUCUCCUGGGACAUUAGGCACCGUGUGCAUCAUUUAUCCUGUGAUUAUCCACAUCAACUCAUCUUGGACCAUUGGUUUUCUCAAAUGCUGACUACUGGCCUCUACAAUCAGUCUACUUCGAUUUUGGUUUAAACCGGCAGCACUUGAAGGCACACUGCCAUCUCCUGGUCAUUUGUUUUGAUAUGCUCAUUUCUAUGCCUUGAUUUUUUAUUUAUUAUGAUUGUUGGUAUAUACUCCAAUAAAAUUUUAGCACAUUUGUAUCUCUGCUUGUACUGUUGUUUUAUCAUUGAGCGGUCUCAUUGACCUGCCAUCACAAUACACUGAAUGGAAAUUAUUUUAAAUGCAGCUGAUAACCAUAUUAGAGUGGCUGUGAGACAACAGGUGUGCUUGAUGUUUUUCACGUUAAUAGUUCAAGGCCAAAAAACAGGGCAUUUGUCGUCAGAAAUGGGAAAAUG